CGGGCUGUGGCGCAGUUUGGUUAGCGCGCUAGUCUGGGGGACUAGAGGUCGCUGGUUCAAAUCCAGUCAGCCCGACCA
rnacentral:tRNA from 1 species